CUAGUUGGUUGAACGGUGGCUUUCAUAUUUGAAAGAGGAAAGUCUGGGCUCCAUAGGAAGAAGUACCAGUUAACGCCUGGCAAGAGUGAUCUUAGGGAUAGUGCCACAGAAAAUAAACCGCCUAAUCAAGGCAAGGGUGAAAAGGUGAGGUAAGAGCUUACCGGUUUUUUAGUAAUAAAAAACGCAUGGAAAACCCUACUUGGAGCAAGACCAAAUAGGGGUAGCGCGAUUGGUAUAACCAAUCAAUUUUCCUGAAAUAGCUGCCCGGGUUGGUUGCUUGAGCUACUCGGUGACGAGUGGCCUAGAUAAAUCAUCGUUUUAAAUGACAGAACCCAGCUUACAGACCAACUAGCAAU
rnacentral:RNase_P_RNA from 1 species